AAAAAGGAAGAAGACCAGAAAAAUAAAAAGGAAAAUAAAAGGAAGAGAAAAGAAUUAAAAGAUAUUAUAUGGAGUGAUUUUAUUCAAAUGAGUACAUAAUCUCCCAGAUGAGGAUGAAUGCCACUGACUGACCACCCCAAAAUUAUUGGACCUAUCCAAUUGGAAGCUACCUUCGUACCCCUCAACCUGGUUUGGCUCCAAGUAAGGGAAAGUCAAACUUCACACAUGAAGAGGAAGAAUGCACGGAAAACUUGAUCCUGUCUCACGUUUAGAUACUUGAUGCUACAGGAAUCUGAGAAGAAAAAUGGAGAGACGUU